UACGGAGGAUGCAAGCGUUAUCCGGAAUGAUUGGGCGUAAAGCGUCCGCAGGUGGCUUUGUAAGUCUGCUGUUAAAGAGUGAGGCUCAACCUCAUAAGAGCAGUGGAAACUACAAGGCUAGAGUACGUUCGGGGCAGAGGGAAUUCCUGGUGUAGCGGUGAAAUGCGUAGAGAUCAGGAAGAACACCGGUGGCGAAGGCGGCGAUCUGGGUCGAUACUGACGCUGAGGUGCGAAAGCGUGGGGAGCAAACAGG
rnacentral:rRNA from 1 species